GGGAUGAUAAUGAUCCUACCUGUCUAUGGUGUAGUCAAAACUUGGCGCCCGAAGUCUCGGUAUUAAAGCUAGAAUCAGGUAGAGGUUAAAAUAAUCAGGCAAGGCCAGCAAAGUAGGGGUACUAUCCUUAGAGCUUGGUCCGUAGACUAAAUUGCGAAAGCUACUAUUCCAUUACCGAAAUUGACGGCUGAGGAACGAAGGUGAGUGAAAGGAAACAGGAUUUGGUACCCCUCUACCCUCUCUGUCAACCAUGAAUGGUACUUAUUGGUUCCUAGUUUUAAUGUUAACACGUUAACCAUUCCGCCUUGUGAGUACGAUUGCA
rnacentral:rRNA from 1 species